AUGUUAGGUGUUGCUUUAGCUUAUGUUCCCCGGCAAGGAAACUACAGAGACAAGCACUUGCCUGCAGAGAUGGAAAUUGCUUGGCAAAUUUCUCUGCUGCCAUUUAAGAAACUUUGUAUAACACGUAAAAUAACAGCCAAUUCACAUGGACGCAUACAGAAAAUAGACUUGUUUGUUCAGCCUUUAGAAUCUGGAAGAGAGAUCCACGGAGGACAACGAGAGGAUAAAUCACACUCACAAUUAGCCAACUGCAAUGGAAAUUCAUUACUAAAAGUCAAUUUGCAGUUGGGCAAAAUGACAGCUGCAAGAAGAAAGUUAGACAAAGAAACACAUUUCAUUUGAAUUCUGAUGAAUUUAAAAUGUACACAGAUAGUAGAAGGUAAAAGAGUGUGGAAGCACCCAUGUGGGAAGUUUUGAUGGAGAAGACUUGGAAAAGGUACUUAUUCUCACAGUUCAUUGGCUAAAACAUAACCAAUAACAGAUACCUAAGGAAGUACGGGAUGUGGAGUCAUUUCGGGCCCAAGAAGAAACAGAAACAGAUCUUGGUGAGUAUUUAACCGUCUCUUCCAUAGUGAUAAUCUUGUUCUUUUAAUUUACAAUUUUAAUCCGUAUGUAUUUAUUAUGGUUAUUGGUGUAUUUGGCUUCAUUCCUCUACUGACAUUUUGCAUUUUAUUUAUUUUGUUAUUUUUAUGUUUUUUUUAUUCUUGUGUUUAUUUUUUCUCAUUACUUUGGAAAUUAGGUACUCUUAUUCUAUUAUUUUAGUUUAUCACUGUAUAUUAAUACUUUAUAUAUCUAAUUGUAUUAAACAUUUUUGCUCUUCUCCCAAACAAUUUUAUGAUCAUAGAAAGUUUUAAAUCUAGUUAUCCCCAUAUUAUAAGUGAUCAUUAUCUAGAAUCUUUAUUUUAUCUUAUAUUUUC
rnacentral:lncRNA from 1 species